rnacentral:lncRNA from 1 species
GAAGUAAAAUUAUACUUUUCCACCCCUUCUCGUUAAGUCCAGUCAGAACCAAUAUGAAGCAGGCGCAGCCCGCCCUUGAUCUAGUUUCAAGCGUUUAUUUUAUGACUGCUAGCCUUUCACUGAUGCACAUGAUUCCGAAGAAGCGAUUGGUCGAGGGCGGUGUCUGUCAGACGGUAAGGGCGUAGCUCUGUAUUUCGUUCACUGUCAGAGCUCGAGGGACGAAACGAAGGGUUCGUUUCCGUUUGUAGGCUGCGGAAACCGAGUUUCACAGUGCUACACAAGCCGAACAGAGACCGAUUGGAGCUCGAUCCUACGACGGAGAGGAGGAAAGAGGACAGUAAUUGCGGAAGACCUUGUAAUCAAAAUACCGUCCAAAUUUACACUAAUAUUAUACUUUAAUAGCACUCAAACCCAGUGCCUGCGAAGAUGGGAGACAAGGCGGGGACCAGAGUCUUCAAGAAGUCCAGCCCCAACUGCAAGCUCACAGUAUACCUGGGGAAGAGAGACUUUGUGGAUCACCUAGACCAUGUAGAUCCAGUGGGUGAGUAGUAACACACUCUGGGGUGCCGGGGCCGUGGGCCCCUAUUAGGGAUGUGAUAACUACUAGACACACACACACCGUUGUUGAUGUAAUUUUGUUGUCUGAGUCUCCCUCUGGGUUGUUAUGACGAUAGAACACAGGACCACAUUGUCACAACAACCAAUGGCAGGAUAAUAUUUGUUAAUGACUGAGCCCUUACUGAUGGAAAUGUAGAACACAACUCAAUUCCUCCUCCACAGUAACUAAACACAACAGCCUCUGAAUACCCCAUAUGCUCAACAACAGAUCAAUAUUGUUGACAAGUUUAUAAUAGGCAAACUCAACCCUUAGUCUCGCUGCCAACAUUCCCUCCAGCAUUCCCACCACAUCCACAGACCCCUGUCCCCGAAUACUGUUCUUUCGGGUCUUCCAUAUCGCCCCUAACACAAAAUUAAGCAACACAACUACACUCUUUUGACUAAAACUGUACUUUGGCCCAAAUAUAUACAGUUGGGAAGAGAAAACCUCUCCCAACGCAGAGAACCAAUUAGUGAUCAGGUCAAUCAUUCCGACCAAC